rnacentral:rRNA from 1 species
AGAAUGGUNUCGAUACUUGGUGUGAAUUGCAGAAUCNUAUGAACCAUCGUCUUUGAUGCAAUUNCCCAAUUGCUAACCAGGGCACGUCUGCUGGUAUNACCAAUGUCCCGGUAGCCCAUCCUCUGGGGGCGCGGAAGAUGAUGCCCCCCGAGAGCCUCGACUCCUGGCCGGCUGAAAAAGGGGCCCUACACGACAGGCGCCACGAUCCACGGUGGUUGAGCAGCAUCCGCUNGGGGCAAACGUGCGCGCACCGUGCCACGGCANGGGCCGGACGGAUGGGGCGAAGACCCCCACAUUGCACGCGACCUAGUCAGGCGGGGCUACCCGCUAAGUUUAAGCAUAUCAAUAAGCGGAGGAA